rnacentral:rRNA from 1 species
GACGAACGCUGGCGGCGUGCUUAACACAUGCAAGUCGAACGGAAAGGCCCCUUCGGGGGUCCUCGAGUGGCGAACGGGUGAGUAACACGUGAGUAACCUGCCCUUGCCUUCGGGAUAACUUCAGGAAACUGGGGCUAAUACCGGAUAGGAAUCCUUGCUGCAUGGUGGGGGUUGGAAAGCUUCGGCGGUUUUGGAUGGACUCGCGGCUUAUCAGCUUGUUGGUGGGGUAGUGGCUUACCAAGGCUUUGACGGGUAGCCGGCCUGAGAGGGCGACCGGCCACAUUGGGACUGAGAUACGGCCCAGACUCCGACGGGAGGCAGCAGUGGGGAAUAUUGCACAAUGGGCGGAAGCCUGAUGCAGCAACGCCGCGUGCGGGAUGACGGCCUUCGGGUUGUAAACCGCUUUCAGCAGGGGCGAAGCUUGUGGUGACGGUACCUGCAGAAGAAGCACCGGCUAACUACGUG